GGCGGGGAGAGCGGCGGGCUGAGGCCGGCUCCAUCGGUGGGCGGGGAGAGCCUUAAAGGGGCCGCGCCGCGCGCCGCCGCUGCCUCGGUCUCGGCCGCUCCCGGGAUUCCUCCCCUCCCCCCGACUGGGCCUUCCUCGCCCUGGGGUCCCCCGCCUGGGACGGGACUUCUCCGGGACCCUGAGCUCUGCGCCCCGUCCUCCUUUCCGGCCGCUCUCUCUCCUCUCUCCCUUCUCACCACUGGGCUUCUUACCGUGUCCUGCUGAGGGGCGUGAAGUUCCUCACUGUACCGCGCCCAGCUGCUACGAGGAGAGACCGAGAUCACGGGCGAGGCGGGUGUCCCUGGAGGGGGAUCUCUCUCUAAGCGCUGCUCGGCAACACAACCCCUCCGCCCCCCCAUCCUUCUCACUCCGGGGGAAAAAGCACUUGCUUUCCCCAGGCAAAUUUCGGGAUAAAAACUUUUAAUUAAAAAUAACAAUACCC